GCAUUCGAGCCCUAACACAAGAGUGUGCGUGAAUAUAGGUGAUUGUGUUUCAAAAAGGAGGGAGAAGGAGGCCUGAAUGCCUCUCAGAGUGCAUUGUGUCUGGGGCUAGUAGGGUUGCCCCUUGUUCUGUGAUGUCACAAUGCCCAAACACACGCACCAAGAAGUCAUCAAAGACAGCCCAACUCACAGCCCAUGAGGGACCCUGAGUACUGCCUCUGACCUCUCUAUGGCAAGCCAAAUGGCCAUGGGAAGACCCCAUGGAGUGUCAGAAUGAUGCCGUUGAGGGCAAGGAUUUUAGACCGGUCAUGGAUUCUGCCUGUGCACUGGGCUCUACCACUUUCUAGCUAUCUGGCUACUAGCAAGUUACCUUAACAAUCUAAGUUUCAACCUCCCCAUUCGUGAAAUGGAGAUGAUGUCUUAGUCAUAGAAGUAGCAAGUCUACUGCAUAUCAACAGUGUAGCACUGAGCCUGGCUCUUUGCUGGAGCGCAGUGGGAUGAUCUCUGCUCACUGCAGCCUCUGCCUUCUGGGUUCAAGUGAUUCUCCUGCCUCAGCCGCAUAAGGAAACAGGCCGAGAGACGCAAGUCAAACAGCAAAGGAUGGUCUGCUGUCUGUCUGACUCCAAUGCCAAUGGUCUUUCCUCUAUAACCUAAAGCAAUAAAACCC
rnacentral:lncRNA from 1 species